UGAGACUGAGCUCCCAUCUCCUUGGCUGCAGCACCAGAUUAAAGCCUUCUUCCUCAGCAGUACUUGUCAUCUCAAUCACUGGCUUCCUGUGUGGUGAGCAGCAAGACCUAAACCAAACCCCUGGUGUUUAGUGAAAAGAUUUUGGUUCCCUGACUGGGCACAUGUUGCUCAUGGCUUUGCUGUCAUGGGCCAUGUCUCAGAAGCCCUCGUUGAGCAAGCCCAACUGACUGAGAGAAAGAAGCACCCUGACUCUUUCAGUAUGGACACUGCUGGGGGCUUGUUUGGAGUUGUAUGUGUGUCCAGGCAAGUGAGUGUCUUUUGUGGGUAUCAGACAGCAGGAUCAGCAACUCUUAAUUUGGGAAAUUCCUAAGGUAUUUUCGUUUGCAGGUUGAUCAAGCCCAACCAAUGGAAAGAGGAAGCACCCCAAUUGUUUUAGUUUGGACACUCUUGGGGCUUGUUUGUUGCUGCAACAGUUAGAUUAUGUUUUGA
rnacentral:lncRNA from 10 species